rnacentral:rRNA from 1 species
GUGGGGAAUCUUGCGCAAUGGGCGAAAGCCUGACGCAGCCAUGCCGCGUGAAUGAUGAAGGUCUUAGGAUUGUAAAAUUCUUUCACCGGGGACGAUAAUGACGGUACCCGGAGAAGAAGCCCCGGCUAACUUCGUGCCAGCAGCCGCGGUAAUACGAAGGGGGCUAGCGUUGCUCGGAAUUACUGGGCGUAAAGGGCGCGUAGGCGGACAGUUUAGUCAGAGGUGAAAGCCCAGGGCUCAACCUUGGAAUUGCCUUUGAUACUGGCUGUCUUGAGUACGGGAGAGGUGAGUGGAACUCCGAGUGUAGAGGUGAAAUUCGUAGAUAUUCGGAAGAACACCAGUGGCGAACGCGACUCACUGGCCCGUUACUGACGCUGAGGCGCGAAAGCGUGGGGAGCAAACAGGAUUAGAAACCCCGGUAGUCC